CUGGCUCAGAAUGAACGCUGGCGGCAUGGUUUAGACAUGCAAGUUGAACGACGGACCCUUCGGGGAAACGGAGUGGCGAACGGGUGAGUAAUACCUGGAUAUCUACCUGAAAGACUGGGAUAACACAGAGAGAUCUGUGCUAAUACCGGAUGAUAUGGAAACAUCAAAGGAGGGGUUAGGCUCUCGCUUUCAGAGGAGUUCAGGUCCUAUCAGCUUGUUGGUGGGGUAAUGGCCUACCAAGGCAGAGACGGGUAGGGGGCCUGAGAGGGUGGCCCUCCUCACUGGGACUGAGACACUGCCCAGACUCCUACGGGAGGCUGCAGUCUUGAAUCUUCCGCAAUGUACGGAAGUAUGACGGAGCAAUGCCGCGUGGAGGAAGAAGGCCUUCGGGUUGUAAACUCCUGUCAGGAUCUGAGAAAGCGCAUAGGUGAAUAGUCUAUGUGUUGACUGGGUCCAGAGGAAGCUACGGCUAACUUCGUGCCAGCAGCCGCGGUAAGACGAAGGUAGCAAGCGUUAUUCGGAAUGACUGGGCUUAAAGGGCGUGUAGGCGGCGUGGUAAGUCAGGUGUGAAAUCUCCGAGCUUAACUCGGACAUUGCGCUUGAUACUAUCAUGCUUGAGAAAAGCAGGGGACUACGGAACUCACGGUGGAGCGGUGGAAUGCUUAGAUAUCGUGGGGAACACCAGUGGCGAAGGCGGUAGUCUGGGCUUUUUCUGACGCUGAGGCGCGAAAGCAUGGGGAGCGAACAGGAUUAGAUACCCUGGUAGUCCAUGCCCUAAACGAUGCACACUAGGUUGCGGGAUCUUUCGGUUCUCGUGAUCGUAGCGAAAGCGUUAAGUGUGCCGCCUGGGGAGUACGGUCGCAAGGCUAAAACUCAAAGGAAUUGACGGGGGCUCGCACAAGCGGUGGAGGAUGUUGUUUAAUUCGAAGCAACGCGAAGAACCUUACCUGGGUUGAACUACGCAGAAUUAGUUUUAUGAAAGUAAAAUGGCGCCUUUACGGGUGGAACUGCGAUAGGUGUUGCAUGGCUGUCGUCAGUUCGUGUCGUGAGAUGUCGGGUUAAGUCCUCUAAUGAGCGAAACCCUUGCUAUUAGUUGCCAGCGCGUAGAGGCGGGGACUCUAAUAGGACCGCCGGUGUUAAACCGGAGGAAGGUGGGGACGACGUCAAGUCAUCAUGGCCCUUACGCCCAGGGCUACAAACGUCCUACAAUGGCCGGUACAAAGGGUUGCGAUGC
rnacentral:rRNA from 1 species